AGGGGGGAGGGGGCGGGGGCGCCUCUCCAGCCAUGUGCGGAGACUGGCGCGGUGACGUCAGAGCGGAGGGGCGGGAUUAGACGCUUCUCGCGGCGCGUUCACAUCACGCGGGAAAUUACAGUUUCUCCACCCGGUUGCUCUUCAACAGCAGUGGAAAUCGGCUAAGCGAAUAAGUGGGAGGGAUGAAAACAAGCAGAGCAGAGACGCGACCUGGUGACACGAAGCAACGUCUGUUCUCUACGCGACAACAGAAGAUGGACGGGAUGCAAAUAAGCCUGAUGAAAUGAAGAAGGAUUAAUCCAGCAGCUUUAAGCUGCGGCUGAACCUGAAUGUGCAGCAAGACUGUUACGUAACACGGAGCCCGAGUCCUUGUGAUUGCUCCUCCGUAAUCCCCCCCGGAACAGUCCAGAGGCCUUUCUCCGGCUGCCAUUAGCGGUUGUUUGCAGGAAUUCUCUGGAUAAUAUCCUGGUGACCUUUGCUGCGAGACACGCACACGGUGCUUUUCAAAAUAAAACUCACAAUAAACAAUGAA